GACGAACGCUGGCGGCGUGCUUAACACAUGCAAGUCGAACGGUGAUGCUCCAGCUUGCUGGAGUGGAUCAGUGGCGAACGGGUGAGUAACACGUGAGCAACCUGCCCCAGACUCUGGAAUAAGCGCUGGAAACGGCGUCUAAUACUGGAUACGAAACUGGCCCGCAUGGGCAUGGUUUGGAAAGUUUUUCGGUUUGGGAUGGGCUCGCGGCCUAUCAGCUUGUUGGUGAGGUAAUGGCUCACCAAGGCGACGACGGGUAGCCGGCCUGAGAGGGCGACCGGCCACACUGGGACUGAGACACGGCCCAGACUCCUACGGGAGGCAGCAGUGGGUAAUAUUGCACAAUGGGCGAAAGCCUGAUGCAGCGACGCCGCGUGAGGGAUGACGGCCUUCGGGUUGUAAACCUCUUUCAGCAGGGAAGAAGCGAAAGUGACGGUACCUGCAGAAGAAGCACCGGCUAACUACGUG
rnacentral:rRNA from 1 species